AGUAAAUUUAAUCUUUUCUCUCGUAUAUUAUCAGAAAUAAGGUCCGAAAGUCUCUACCUACUCACCGUAAAUGAGUAGACUACGGGUGGCAAUUGCUAGAUA
rnacentral:ncRNA from 2 species